rnacentral:rRNA from 1 species
CGAUGCGUAGCCGACCUGAGAGGGUGAUCGGCCACACUGGGACUGAGACACGGCCCAGACUCCUACGGGAGGCAGCAGUAGGGAAUCUUCCGCAAUGGACGCAAGUCUGACGGAGCAACGCCGCGUGAGUGAUGAAGGUCUUCGGAUCGUAAAACUCUGUUAUCAGGGAAGAACCCGUGCCGGAGUAACUGCCGGUGCGUUGACGGUACCUGACCAGAAAGCCACGGCUAACUACGUGCCAGCAGCCGCGGUAAUACGUAGGUGGCAAGCGUUGUCCGGAAUUAUUGGGCGUAAAGCGCGCGCAGGCGGCUUCUUAAGUCUGAUGUGAAAGCCCACGGCUCAACCGUGGAGGGUCAUUGGAAACUGGGAGGCUUGAGUGCAGAAGAGGAGAGCGGAAUUCCACGUGUAGCGGUGAAAUGCGUAGAGAUGUGGAGGAACACCAGUGGCGAAGGCGGCUCUCUGGUCUGUAACUGACGCUGAGGCGCGAAAGCGUGGGUAGCGAACAGGAUUAGAUACCCUGGUAGUCCACGCCGUAAACGAUGAGUGCUAAGUGUUAGGGGGUUUCCGCCCCUUAGUGCUGCAGCAAACGCAUUAAGCACUCCGCCUGGGGAGUACGGCCGCAAGGCUGAAACUCAAAGGAAUUGACGGGGGCCCGCACAAGCGGUGGAGCAUGUGGUUUAAUUCGAAGCAACGCGAAGAACCUUACCAGGUCUUGACAUCCCAAUGGCCGCUUUAGAGAUAAAGCUUUCCCUUCGGGGACAUUGGUGACAGGUGGUGCAUGGUUGUCGUCAGCUCGUGUCGUGAGAUGUUGGGUUAAGUCCCGCAACGAGCGCAACCCUUGAUCUUAGUUGCCAGCAUUGAGUUGGGCACUCUAAGGUGACUGCCGGUGACAAACCGGAGGAAGGUGGGGAUGACGUCAAAUCAUCAUGCCCCUUAUGACCUGGGCUACACACGUGCUACAAUGGAUGGUACAAAGGGCCGCGAGACCGCGAGGUGGAGCGAAUCCCAUAAAACCAUUCUCAGUUCGGAUUGCAGGCUGCAACUCGCCUGCAUGAAGCCGGAAUCGCUAGUAAUCGCGGAUCAGCAUGCCGCGGUGAAUACG